rnacentral:rRNA from 1 species
CGGAGCGGGUGAGUAACGCGUGAGGAACCUGCCUCAAAGAGGGGGACAACAGUUGGAAACGACUGCUAAUACCGCAUAAGCCCACGGCUCGGCAUCGAGCAGAGGGAAAAGGAGCAAUCCGCUUUGAGAUGGCCUCGCGUCCGAUUAGCUAGUUGGUGAGGUAACGGCCCACCAAGGCGACGAUCGGUAGCCGGACUGAGAGGUUGAACGGCCACAUUGGGACUGAGACACGGUCCAA